rnacentral:rRNA from 1 species
GAGUUUGAUUCUGGCUCAGGAUGAACGCUGGCGGCAUGCCUAACACAUGCAAGUUGAACGAGAAGUUCUGGAGGGAGUCUUCGGACGAACGAAGGAAUGGAAAGUAGCGAACGGGUGAGUAACGCGUGGGCAACCAACCUUACACAGGGGGAUAACGCAGAGAAAUUUGCGCUAAUACCGCAUAAGCGCACAGUACCGCAUGGUACGGUGUGAAAAACUCCGGUGGUGUAAGACGGGCCCGCGUCUGAUUAGUUAGUUGGUGAGGUAAAAGCUCACCAAGGCGACGAUCAGUAGCCGACCUGAGAGGGUGAUCGGCCACAUUGGGACUGAGACACGGCCCAAACUCCUACGGGAGGCAGCAGUGGGGGAUAUUGCACAAUGGAGGGAACUCUGAUGCAGCAAUGCCGCGUGAAGGAAGACGGUUUUCGGAUUGUAAACUUCUAUCAGCAGGGAAGAAAAUGACGUACCUGACUAAGAGCCCC